AAGGCAGAGGCAGACAGAAGAGGGAUAUUCUCUUUAGGGUGACUCUUUAGAGAGUACAGCUAGACUUGGACUUGG